UCCGUUUAAGAGAGGAAGCGAGAACAAGAGAAAGACAGCCCUGAAGUCCCAGGGUAGGUCCCCAUGUUACCAGUGUGCACGUGCAAAACCUUUUUAACCACAAAUGAUGUUGCAAUCCGAGGUCUGCUCUUUCUAGUGGCUGCUUGUCCUUGUUUUGUGCUUAUUCUUUCCUAGGAAAUAGCAUCACGGUUCUCAGAUAUUGGGCCAAGCAGCGAUGACCAGGAGAGAAGGCUUUUUUUAUCCGAUCUGAGAUUUUGUUUUUUAAUGGAUGCACUCAGAGCACAGAGUUACAGUGUUCAUGAAGCUAGAUUAAUAUUACAAGAUGGCCAAUAUAAAUCUAGAAGGCAUUUUUAGUGUGAAUUGAAGAAGCAGGAGAGAAAUGAGGAUAGGAUCUACUUCCUUGCUUCCUGGGAGCCGACCUGGAGCAGGACAGGGCCUUCCUCCUUCCAUGUGACCCGACAGGUCUUCACGACAGAACAGUUCCUUGUGGGAGUGAACUGAGGAUGAAGUGGGAGGGCAAGUCCAGGAAAAAGGACUGAGCUCCCCUCCAGGUCAAAGAGGAACACAGAGGAGAAGGCAGCUGACGGAGGUGGGCAGCUACCCCAAGAGGUCUUGGCGGAGAGUGAAAGGAGGAUGGGCCACAGAAGAAGGAAUCCACUGGAGAGACAUGUCAAGGUCUAUAAAGGUGGAGCAGGUACCAAGAAACCAGUAUUUUAACAAAUGUCCCAGAUGAUUCAGAUACACAGUCGGAUCUGGGAACCACUGCUUUGGACAGCUGCUUAGAGAUGGCUGUUAACUACCUGGAUACUGAAUGUGAUAAAGGUAAACAGAAGUUGGGAGAGGAAGAGAAGUGCAGCCCCAAGAAAAACAAAACAACGGAGCACAUGUGAUGUAGGGAUAGCAUCUGAUCGAAAAGAAAACCAGCGCUCCACACAAAGGCCCAAGAACUCUUAUUUCCUAAAGUUUGUUAUAAGGACACCUAGGGUGUUUGAGUCCUCUUGCGAUCAUCUCACCAUGGGCAACCUUACAUGGAAAAUUUCCUAAGUCAUUCCUGACCCUCAUGAUGCAAUAUGGGCACCCAAACAGCACUCUAAGGAAGACUGAAUUUACUGAUGCUAACUUGUUUUCCUUGAACAGGAGAAUGUUUAUAGCUUCACGACCUUUUCAUUUUUCUGUGUUGGAAAAGGAAUUACACCUCAAAGCAUAUCUUCGUUCUGGAGUUUUAUUACUAAAUCUGAUGUAUCCUGACUAUAAAAAUGUAUGAGCCAGGAAUGUACAGCAAGGAUACAUGAAAGUGCCCGCUUGUACUAUUAAUACUGGGAAGUCAAGCCUCGCGCUCCUAGAACCAACCGUGCUCAGGAAAAACGUCUGAAAUGAUUGUCCUUUCCCAAAGUCAACUUCCUUCUCCAGCUUCUCCAGCCUCCCCAGCCUCCCCUGCCUCCCCUGCCGCCCCUGCCGCCCCUGCCGCCCCAGCCUAGAUUCUAGAUUAGAGGAGGAGUGUCGAUUCAGAUGGAAAUGCUUACAUGCACUCAGUGGCCUUGAGAAUUACCAUGAUUAAUCUUAAACUGACAUGGGCAACAUGGAGGUUGAUGGUCGGAAUUUGAAGUUAUAAGCACAAAUAAAGCUCCUUGGCGCAAAGCGGAACCACAUAUAAUAAGCUGCUAAAAAUCAGGAUUAUUGUUCAAACCAGCACUCUGAUCCCAAGGGAAAUCCAGAAUCACAGGGAUUUUCUGGUCUCUUCUAAGAAUGCCCCAUUUCCAAACACUCAGUUUGGGAUUUGCAUUUUCCAAAAGGGAGCAGAAGAGAUGUAAGUUGAUCCAUUUUUCUUUUUAAGACGGGUAAUGUCUGGCCCAUUUGGGAACUAGAUAUCUUCUAACAAAAGGUUUAACUAGAUUUCUUUUUUCUUAUGCAUGCAUGUAUCUAUCUAUUUAUUAUGUUAACACUCCUCCUACUCAACAAAGCUUAUGAGUUAACUAAUAAAAAAACAAAUUCUAAAAAUGAGGGCCAAGAAAAAUAAGACCCAAGCUGAAGUAUCACAGGUGAAUAUAAUCGGUCACAGAUUCACUUUUUUAGCCUCCUGAUGGUCAAAGCAAAUAAAGGAAAGGUCUCUAAGAAUGGAGUUAAAGGGACUGAAGAUAUGCAACCACAUUAAAAUGAUUACUUCAAAAUUUACAGGUUGGACUAUUUCAAUGAAUGUAUGUGUACUAAAGUCUCACACAGAUGCAUGCUGGGAAAAUGUUUCCUUCCACGUGUCUCUUUGAGAUCAAUAUUCUGCAGCCUUUCCCAAAGAAAGACCUCUAGACUCUAGAAGGAGAGUCUCUACAAACAGUUGAAUUUCAGUUUUUAAAAUAUGAUCAAUGUUCCUAUUUUAAUCCAAGGAAAUGAUUAUCACCAAGUAACAGCCCUUAUAUUGCCAAUAAUGCAUUCUUGUUUUGCUAAAAAUAAAACAAAAGCUGAAUAAAACAAAAAUCUUCCCAGUUUUGAAAUGUGGACUCACUAAGAAUUUAGAAAGAGAUCAGUUCUCCUCCACUGGUCCAAUGUACUAUGCAUGGCAAAAGAUCAGUAAAUGUGCUGGAUCAAAUUAGCCCUAAUUUCUCAAGUAUUGGGUAUAUAAUCAUAAGCCAUGGUUAUUAUUCUUAUAUUUUUU